UACGUGUUGAAGCAUGAAGUUACAGCGUAUACCUGAAGACUGAAUUCGAAGUGUCUGCAAUGCGAAGACGUCUUCUUUAUCGCCGAGAAGUUGAAGGAAGCAGCCACCGCAGCUCUGACCAGACUUUCCACCAACUUGAGAGGAUGUAGUUUCGUGACUGGUCGGGGGAAUCUGGUGACCACAGCUCCGAUCGUGAAAACCAGCAGAAGCAAGUUGACUGUACAACUGCAGUUCCAUGUCAUAACCUGUGGGGGCGUAGUGGCGACAUGGUGAGGUUAUUUGGUGAGAGACUGGUGGAGGAAGUAAAACUGGUGACCGCAGCUCUGAAGGCUAGAAGCCAGCAUCUGUGC